AUCACUUCUCGGCCUUUUGGCUAAGAUCAAGUGUAGUGUUUGUUCUUAUCAGUUUAAUAGCUGAUACGUCCUCGAUGAGAGGACUUUAUAGUAAAUGGAUUUUUGGGCUCAGUCUAUUCUUU
rnacentral:snRNA from 1 species